GACGUAGGGCGCGAGCGUUGUCCGGAUUUAUUGGGCGUAAAGAGCUCGUAGGCGGCUUGUCGCGUCGUCCGUGAAAACUCACAGCUCAACUGUGAGCUUGCGGUCGAUACGGGCAGGCUAGAGUUCGGUAGGGGAGACUGGAAUUCCUGGUGUAGCGGUGAAAUGCGCAGAUAUCAGGAGGAACACCGGUGGCGAAGGCGGGUCUCUGGACAGUUCCUGACGCUGAGGCACGAAGGCCAGGGGAGCAAACGGG
rnacentral:rRNA from 1 species